rnacentral:rRNA from 1 species
CCCUUAGAUGUUCUGGGCCGCACGCGUGCUACACUGAGUGGAUCAGCGGGUCAGGUUGCGCGAAAGCGUUUCCUAAUCUUUAAAUCCGCUCGUGAUGGGGAUUGACGGUUGCAAUUUUCUGUCAUGAACGAGGAAUACCUUGUAAGCGCGGGUCAUCAUCCCGCGCUGAAUACGUCCCUGCCCUUUGUACACACCGCCCGUCGCUCCUACCGAUUGAAUGGUUUAGUGAGAUCUUCGGAUUGGCGCCACUGCGGCUCAGCAAUGGGCUCGGUGGAUGCCGAAAAGUUGAUCAAACUUGAUCAUUUAGAGGAAGUAAAAGUCGUAACA